UACGGGGGGUGCGAGCGUUGUCCGGAAUUAUUGGGCGUAAAGAGCUUGUAGGCGGUUUGUCGCGUCUGCUGUGAAAUUUCGGGGCUCAACCCCGAACUUGCAGUGGGUACGGGCAGACUAGAGUGUGGUAGGGGAGACUGGAAUUCCUGGUGUAGCGGUGAAAUGCGCAGAUAUCAGGAGGAACACCGAUGGCGAAGGCAGGUCUCUGGGCCAUAACUGACGCUGAGAAGCGAAAGCAUGGGGAGCGAACAGG
rnacentral:rRNA from 1 species